rnacentral:rRNA from 1 species
UACGAGUGCCCCAAGCGUUAUCCGGAAUUAUUGGGCGUAAAGGGUGUGUAGGUGGUCAUAUUAGUCUUCUGUUAAAGCUCCCGGCUUAACCGGGAACAUGCAGAGGAAACGGUACGACUAGAGGACGUAAGAGGUAUGCGGAACUCAUGGUGUAGGGGUGAAAUCCGUUGAUAUCAUGGGGAACACCAAAAGCGAAGGCAGCAUACUGGUGCGUUCCUGACACUGAGACACGAAAGCGUGGGUAGCGAAUGGG